rnacentral:rRNA from 1 species
CCUACGGGGAGCAGCAGUGAGGAAUAUUGGUCAAUGGGCGCGAGCCUGAACCAGCCAAGUAGCGUGAAGGAAGACGGCCCUACGGGUUGUAAACUUCUUGUAUAAAGGAAUAAAGUGAGGCACGUGUGCCUUUUUGUAUGUACGUUAUGAAUAAGGAUCGGCUAACUCCGUGCCAGCAGCCGCGGUAAUACGGAGGAUCCGAGCGUUAUCCGGAUUUAUUGGGUUUAAAGGGAGCGUAGAUGGGUUGUUAAGUCAGUUGUGAAAGUUUGCGGCUCAACCGUAAACUGGCAAUUGAUACUGGCAGUCUUGCGUACAGUUGCGGUAGGCGGCCUUCGUUGUGUAGCGG